rnacentral:tRNA from 1 species
UGCAUCGGCCGGGAAUCGAACCCGGGCCCCCCGCGUGGCAGGCGAGCAUUCUACCUCUGAACCACUGAUGG